rnacentral:rRNA from 1 species
UGGGGAAUCUUAGACAAUGGGCGCAAGCCUGAUCUAGCGAUGCCGCGUGAGUGACGAAGGCCCUAGGGUCGUAAAGCUCUUUCGCCAGGGAUGAUAAUGACAGUACCUGGUAAAGAAACCCCGGCUAACUUCGUGCCAGCAGCCGCGGUAAUACGGAGGGGGUUAGCGUUGUUCGGAAUUACUGGGCGUAAGGCGCGCGUAGGCGGACUAUUAAGUCAGGGGUGAAAUCCCGGGGCUCAACCCCGGAACUGCCUUUGAUACUGGUAGUCUUGAGUUCGAGAGAGGUGAGUGGAAUUCCAAGUGUAGAGGUGAAAUUCGUAGAUAUUUGGAGGAACACCGGUGGCGAAGGCGGCGACCUGGUCCGGUACUGACGCUGAGGCGCGAAAGCGUGGGGAGCAAACAGGAUUAGAUACCCGGGUAGUCC